GACGAACGCUGGCGGCGUGCCUAAUACAUGCAAGUGGGACGCAAGGGAACACACUGUGCUUGCACACCGUGUUUUCUUGAGUCGCGAACGGGUGAGUAACGCGUAGGUAACCUGCCUAUUAGCGGGGGAUAACUAUUGGAAACGAUAGCUAAUACCGCAUAAUAUUAAUUAUUGCAUGAUAAUUGAUUGAAAGAUGCAAGCGCAUCACUAGUAGAUGGACCUGCGUUGUAUUAGCUAGUUGGUAAGGUAAGAGCUUACCAAGGCGACGAUACAUAGCCGACCUGAGAGGGUGAUCGGCCACACUGGGACUGAGACACGGCCCAGACUCCUACGGGAGGCAGCAGUAGGGAAUCUUCGGCAAUGGACGAAAGUCUGACCGAGCAACGCCGCGUGAGUGAAGAAGGUUUUCGGAUCGUAAAGCUCUGUUGUAAGUCAAGAACGUGUGUGAGAGUGGAAAGUUCACACAGUGACGGUAGCUUACCAGAAAGGACGG
rnacentral:rRNA from 1 species